rnacentral:rRNA from 1 species
GAUUGAACGCUGGCGGCAUGCUUUACACAUGCAAGUCGAACGGUAACAGGCCUUCGGGUGCUGACGAGUGGCGAACGGGUGAGUAAUGCAUCGGAACGUACCCAGAGGUGGGGGAUAAUGCAGCGAAAGCUGUGCUAAUACCGCAUGUGAUCUGAGGAUGAAAGCGGGGGACCGAGCAGCAAUGUUUGGCCUCGCGCCUUUGGAGCGGCCGAUGUCGGAUUAGCUAGUUGGUGGGGUAAAGGCCUACCAAGGCGACGAUCCGUAGCUGGUCUGAGAGGACGACCAGCCACACUGGGACUGAGACACGGCCCAGACUCCUACGGGAGGCAGCAGUGGGGAAUUUUGGACAAUGGGCGCAAGCCUGAUCCAGCAAUGCCGCGUGCGGGAAGAAGGCCUUCGGGUUGUAAACCGCUUUUGGCAGGAACGAAACGGUGUCCGCUAAUACCGGGCGCUAAUGACGGUACCUGCAGAAUAAGCACCGGCUAACUACGUG